CUAUAUCAAGUAUGUUAAGUCACGUGGCUACACAUGACAAAAUCCAAAUGUAUGAUUUGGCAUAUUUAAUUUCAUUCCUCAGUUUGGUUUGAGAUGCUGGAGCGACUUCUAGUGGCAGGUGAAUUUUUUUUUCUUCCUCUGAAUCCAGCAGGAUACCGACUCUCUCUCUCUACAGGUCAGGUCAGUGGAGGAAUCUUGUUAUUUGAAGGAUUUUCUGUUUGAAUAUACAGUCACAUUUCCAGACACUCAGUCUACAUAUUCAAACAGUUACACACAUACUUUAUUGCACAUUACUGCUGAUCUUGAAUUGUUGACACUGUAGCAGUUGUGGUACAAAGAUGACUCAUUAACAAGUGCUCAUUGUUCCCAAAUACAUCGACGCGACCUUGAGGUUGACGUAAAUCAUUUUCCUAACGACAAUACACUGUAACUUCUUGUGAAACACAUAAAAUAACAGUUUUGAUCAGCGCAGAUAAAACUUUAACUUUUAGGUUCAGUGAGUCUGAUGUGCAAAGUGUACGAUCCAGUGAAAGGUGAAAUGUCAUCUCAACAAGUAAAACAAAUCUUGUAUUAUAUUACACAAAAACAUUUUGAUAAUUAAGAAAGUAUAUUUUAAUUUCAGAUUAUGUUUUGUUAUUCAUCAAUGAAAAAUGUUGCACGGUGCAUUAAUGAGGUAAAGAUAGAGAUCAUUUUAACUACAUAUAUAUAAUACUGCUGGGUAGCAACAUAUCUUAUAUCUAUAUUUAUUCUGUAUUAUUAAUCUGAACCAGUUAAAGUAACAAUAGGCCCUAAUAAUGUUACCAAAUCAAUAGUAGUGUAUAGAAUUGUAUGUAGAAUUAUAAAGUAGCAUAAAAUAGAAAUAAGGUCAGCACUUAAGUAACCAUACUUAGUGAAAUGGCCUCAGGGAAAGUUACUGCAUUCAUACUUUGAGUUCUUCAGCAGAGAAGUUCAAAGGCUGCGGACCAUAAAGGUCUGUCAUUGAGACGGAUGCAGCCGGAGGCGAGGCCGAGCAGGAGCUCCCAGUCACACAGGCAUCCUCAGAAACUGGGUGAACUGGCCGAGCACUCGUCUCUAAGGGAGAUGCUAAUAUUUUAAAUGCUUUACAUUCGUCCUGUCAUCACUUUGUUCUCUGCUCCUAUGAUAGAGUUAAUACAGUUAUUACUGCAGAAUCAGAGACAAAUGAUAAACAGACUGUAAGGUUAAC
rnacentral:lncRNA from 1 species